UUUACUAAGUUUAUAAGCUUGAACUUAAUUUUACAAAUUAAAAUAUAAAACCUGUUAAAG
rnacentral:tRNA from 1 species